CAUGUCCUGAGGACAUUCUAGCUGCCCAAAAGAGAACUCCACAUGGUUAUUUAUUCAUCUGCAAGUAUGAACGAAUGUGCAGUUUUAAAAAAUGAACUGAUCAAUGUUUUGGAAUACUGAUCCACUUAUCGGCAAACAUCCAUAACUAUAUAGGAGCAUGCAUUUCUCUUAAAACUUAUGAUUUCCCUUUA